UACGAGGGGUCCUAGCGUUGUUCGGAAUUAUUGGGCGUAAAGAGUAUGUAGGGGGCCAGAUAAGUCAGGUGUGAAAUCCCCGGGCUCAACCCGGGAAGUGCAUUUGAUACUGUCUGGCUUGAGUAUGGAAGAGGGUAGUGGAAUUCCUGGUGUAGUGGUGAAAUACGUAGAUAUCAGGAGGAACACCGGUGGCGAAGGCGGCUACCUGGUCCUAUACUGACGCUGAGAUACGAAAGCGUGGGGAGCAAACAGG
rnacentral:rRNA from 1 species